rnacentral:rRNA from 1 species
CAGUCGAACGAAGCACUUAUCUUUGAUUCUUCGGAUGAAGAGGUUUGUGACUGACUGGCGGACGGGUGAGUAACGCGUGGGUAACCUGCCUCAUACAGGGGGAUAACAGUUAGAAAUGACUGCUAAUACCGCAUAAGACCACGGAGCCGCAUGGCUCAGUGGGAAAAACUCCGGUGGUAUGAGAUGGACCCGCGUCUGAUUAGGUAGUUGGUGGGGUAACGGCCUACCAAGCCAACGAUCAGUAGCCGACCUGAGAGGGUGACCGGCCACAUUGGGACUGAGACACGGCCCAAACUCCUACGGGAGGCAGCAGUGGGGAAUAUUGCACAAUGGGGGAAACCCUGAUGCAGCGACGCCGCGUGAGCGAAGAAGUAUUUCGGUAUGUAAAGCUCUAUCAGCAGGGAAGAAAAUGACGGUACCUGACUAAGAAGCACCGGCUAAAUACGUGCCAGCAGCCGCGGUAAUACGUAUGGUGCAAGCGUUAUCCGGAUUUACUGGGUGUAAAGGGAGCGUAGACGGCUGUGUAAGUCUGAAGUGAAAGCCCGGGGCUCAACCCCGGGACUGCUUUGGAAACUAUGCAGCUAGAGUGUCGGAGAGGUAAGUGGAAUUCCCAGUGUAGCGGUGAAAUGCGUAGAUAUUGGGAGGAACACCAGUGGCGAAGGCGGCUUACUGGACGAUGACUGACGUUGAGGCUCGAAAGCGUGGGGAGCAAACAGGAUUAGAUACCCUGGUAGUCCACGCCGUAAACGAUGACUACUAGGUGU